rnacentral:rRNA from 1 species
AACGAACGCUGGCGGCAUGCCUAACACAUGCAAGUCGAACGAGACCUUCGGGUCUAGUGGCGCACGUGUGCGUAACGCGUGGUAACCUGCCCUUAGGUUCGGAAUAACUCCCCGAAAGGGGUGCUCAUACCGGUUAAUGUCUUCCGACCAAAGAUUUAUCGCCUUUGGAUGGGCCCGCGUUGGAUUAGCUAGUUGGUAGGGUAAAAGCAUACCAAGGCGACGAUCCAUAGCUGGUAUGAGAGGAUGAUCAGCCACACUGGGACUGAGACACGGCCCAGACUCCUACGGGAGGCAGCAGUGGGGAAUAUUGGACAAUGGGCGAUAGUCUGAUCAAGCAAUGCCGCGUGAGUGAUGAAGGCCUUAGGGUUGUAAAGCUCUUUUACACGGGAUGAUAAUGACAGUACCGGGAGAAUAAGCUCCGGCUAACUCCGUG